rnacentral:sRNA from 1 species
UAUCUCUCCGUACGGGGAAGGAUGAGAAGCUUCGACCAAGGUUCGAUUCGAGCGCAGCGAGAAAGCGUUGCCGCAGGCAACGACCCGAAGGGCGAAGCGCGCAGCGCUGAGUCA